rnacentral:rRNA from 1 species
GAUUAACGCUGGCGGCGUGCAUAACACAUGCAAGUCGAACGAUGAAACUUAAAUGAUUUCUUCGGAAUGAACUUAAGUGGAUUAGUGGCGGACGGGUGAGUAACGCGUGAGUAACCUGCCUUACACAAGGGGAUAGCCGUUGGAAACGACGAAUAAUACCCUAUGAAACUAUCACUUCGCAUGAAGCGAUAGUCAAAGUGUUAGCGGUGUAAGAUGGACUUGCGUCUGAUUAGCUAGUUGGUGAGAAAAAAGCCCACCAAGGCAACGAUCAGUAGCCGGCUUGAGAGAGUGUACGGCCACAUUGGGACUGAGGCACGGCCCAGACUCCUACGGGAGGCAGCAGUGGGGAAUUUUGCACAAUGGGGGAAACCCUGAUGCAGCGACGCCGCGUGAUUGAGAAGGCCUUCGGGUUGUAAAAAUCUUUUGUAUAGGAAGAAAAUGACAGUACUAUACGAAUAAGGUCCGGCUAAUUACGUG